rnacentral:sRNA from 1 species
UACACGCUAUGCUUGACGGUCCUCGC